UACGGAGGAGGCAAGCGUUAUCCGGAAUUAUUGGGCGUAAAGCGUCCGUAGGCGGCUUUUUAAGUCUGUUGUCAAAGCCCACAGCUCAACUUGGGAACGGCAAUGGAAACUGGGGAGCUUGAGUGUGGUAGGGGGAGAGGGAAUUCCCGGUGUAGCGGUGAAAUGCGUAGAUAUCGGGAAGAACACCAGUGGCGAAGGCGGCCUCCUGGGCCACACCUGACGCUGAUGGGCGAAAGCUAGGGGAGCGAAAGGG
rnacentral:rRNA from 1 species